GUGAUAAUAAUAAUAGUUUUAUGCAUAGUACGAGUAAUGAAUAUUGAAUAUAAUUGAUAGUCAAUUAAUAGUAGUGUAACAAAAAAUUGACGUAUGUCAAAUCAAUCAAGGCAUGCAGAAACAUGAAUUCACAUUUCUACCACUUAAGAAAGUAUCAACAUCCUAUGCUGAAAAUGGACUAGAAGAUACUGCUAAUAAUAUUGGGUUUAUGUAAUAUUGACGUAUGUCAAAUCAAUCAAGGCAUGCAGAAACAUGAAUUCACAUUUCUACCACUUAAGAAAGUAUCAACAUCCUAUGCUGAAAAUGGACUAGAAGAUACUGCUAAUAAUAUUGGGUUUAUGUAAUAUGGCUGUACACCAGAUAUACUCAGGACAUAUUGAUACAUGAAUUACCAUUUCUACCACAUGGGAAAGUUUCAACAUCCUACGUUGAAAAUGGACUGGACAAUCCUGAUAAUAAUAAUAGUUUUAUGCAUAAUUGACGUAUGUCAAAUCAAUCAAGGCAUGCAGAAACAUGAAUUCACAUUUCUACCACUUAAGAAAGUAUCAACAUCCUAUGCUGAAAAUGGACUAGAAGAUACUGCUAAUAAUAUUGGGUUUAUGUAAUAUGGCUGUACACCAGAUAUACUCAGGACAUAUUGAUACAUGAAUUACCAUUUCUACCACAUGGGAAAGUUUCAACAUCCUACGUUGAAAAUGGACUGGACAAUCCUGAUAAUAAUAAUAGUUUUAUGCAUAAUUGACGUAUGUCAAAUCAAUCAAGGCAUGCAGAAACAUGAAUUCACAUUUCUACCACUUAAGAAAGUAUCAACAUCCUAUGCUGAAAAUGGACUAGAAGAUACUGCUAAUAAUAUUGGGUUUAUGUAAUAUGGCUGUACACCAGAUAUACUCAGGACAUAUUGAUACAUGAAUUACCAUUUCUACCACAUGGGAAAGUUUCAACAUCCUACGUUGAAAAUGGACUGGACGAUCCUGAUAAUAAUAAUAGUUUUAUGCAUAAUUGACGUAUGUCAGAUCAAUCAAGGCAUGCAGAAACAUGAAUUCACAUUUCUACCACUUAAGAAAGUAUUUACAUCCUAUGCUGAAAAUGGACUAGAAGAUACUGCUAAUAAUAUUGGGUUUAUGUAAUAUGGCUGUACACCAGAUAUACUCAGGACAUAUUGAUACAUGAAUUACCAUUUCUACCACAUGGGAAAGUUUCAACAUCCUACGUUGAAAAUGGACUGGACAAUCCUGAUAAUAAUAAUAGUUUUAUGCAUAAUUGACGUAUGUCAAAUCAAUCAAGGCAUGCAGAAACAUGAAUUCACAUUUCUACCACUUAAGAAAGUAUCAACAUCCUAUGCUGAAAAUGGACUAGAAGAUACUGCUAAUAAUAUUGGGUUUAUGUAAUAUGGCUGUACACCAGAUAUACUCAGGACAUAUUGAUACAUGAAUUACCAUUUCUACCACAUGGGAAAGUUUCAACAUCCUACGUUGAAAAUGGACUGGACAAUCCUGAUAAUAAUAAUAGUUUUAUGCAUAAUUGACGUAUGUCAAAUCAAUCAAGGCAUGCAGAAACAUGAAUUCACAUUUCUACCACUUAAGAAAGUAUCAACAUCCUAUGCUGAAAAUGGACUAGAAGAUACUGCUAAUAAUAUUGGGUUUAUGUAAUAUUGACGUAUGUCAAAUCAAUCAAGGCAUGCAGAAACAUGAAUUCACAUUUCUACCACUUAAGAAAGUAUCAACAUCCUAUGCUGAAAAUGGACUAGAAGAUACUGCUAAUAAUAUUGGGUUUAUGUAAUAUGGCUGUACACCAGAUAUACUCAGGACAUAUUGAUACAUGAAUUACCAUUUCUACCACAUGGGAAAGUUUCAACAUCCUACGUUGAAAAUGGACUGGACAAUCCUGAUAAUAAUAAUAGUUUUAUGCAUAGUACGAGUAAUGAAUAUUGAAUAUAAUUGAUAGUCAAUUAAUAGUAGUGUAACAAAAAAUUGACGUAUGUCAAAUCAAUCAAGGCAUGCAGAAACAUGAAUUCACAUUUCUACCACUUAAGAAAGUAUCAACAUCCUAUGCUGAAAAUGGACUAGAAGAUACUGCUAAUAAUAUUGGGUUUAUGUAAUAUGGCUGUACACCAGAUAUACUCAGGACAUAUUGAUACAUGAAUUACCAUUUCUACCACAUGGGAAAGUUUCAACAUCCUACGUUGAAAAUGGACUGGACAAUCCUGAUAAUAAUAAUAGUUUUAUGCAUAGUACGAGUAAUGAAUAUUGAAUAUAAUUGAUAGUCAAUUAAUAGUAGUGUAACAAAAAAUUGACGUAUGUCAAAUCAAUCAAGGCAUGCAGAAACAUGAAUUCACAUUUCUACCACUUAAGAAAGUAUCAACAUCCUAUGCUGAAAAUGGACUAGAAGAUACUGCUAAUAAUAUUGGGUUUAUGUAAUAUGGCUGUACACCAGAUAUACUCAGGACAUAUUGAUACAUGAAAUUACCAUUUCUACCACAUGGGAAAGUUUCAACAUCCUACGUUGAAAAUGGACUGGACAAUCCUGAUAAUAAUAAUAGUUUUAUGCAUAGUACGAGUAAUGAAUAUUGAAUAUAAUUGAUAGUCAAUUAAUAGUAGUGUAACAAAAAAUUGACGUAUGUCAAAUCAAUCAAGGCAUGCAGAAACAUGAAUUCACAUUUCUACCACUUAAGAAAGUAUCAACAUCCUAUGCUGAAAAUGGACUAGAAGAUACUGCUAAUAAUAUUGGGUUUAUGUAAUGUGCGUGUAAGGGUUAUUGAAUAUAAUUGAUAGUAAAUUAAUGGCAGUGAAACAAUUGAGAUUCGUUAAUAAUCUGAAUAAAAUUUUAGUUAACACCUUUGACUUGUAAUUUUCAUUCAUAAGAGUUACCAUUAUUAACUUGUAUACAUUUCAUUUGAGCUGA